UGUCAUAUUGAAAUUUUUAUGAUAGUACCUGCUCUAUGCAUUUACUUGUUAAUGGCCGCAGUAUAUUGACUGUGCAAAGGUAGCAUAAUUAAUUGCCUUAUAAUUGAAGGCUUGUUUGAAUGGUUUGACGUGGUAAUCACAAAUAUUUACUUUUAACAUGAAAUUAGUGUGGGGGGCACAGAAUCCCCCAUUUUUAAUUAGACGGAAAGACCCCAGGAUCUUUUAUUUUUGUCUGGGGCAGAUGAAAAUAUUUCAUUUUUAAUUUGACCCUUUAUGGUUUAGUGGUUUAAGUUACCCUGGGGAUAACAGUGUAAUAGUUUAUUAGAGAUCUUAUCGAGUAAACUGUUUGCUACCUCGAUGUUGACUUAGGUAAAUAGGUUUGGCGAAGUAGUCUAAUCUUUUGGUCUGUUCGACCUUAUGUGCCUCC
rnacentral:rRNA from 1 species